rnacentral:tRNA from 1 species
GGAGCCAUGCCUGAAAUAAAGGGCCACUUUGAUAGAGUGAACCAUGGGGGUUAGAGUCCCCCUGACUCCU